CGAGAGGCGGCCAAGGCUGGAGGUGAGCGGGAAUGAGGCCAGGCCACGACUCCUCCCUCCUCUCAAAGAUAGUUUCCCACGGUGGCGGCGAGAUGCGGCCCUUGGCCCUAAUCCGGGCUUUGGCCGCCCUUCGCGCUUUCCAGGACCCUUCCCUCGGCCGGGAGGGGCGACGGUAACGGCGCGGGGCUACCAAGCGGGUUCGUGACCCCUCCAACAGCCUUGUCUGCGGCGGGGGCUGCCCCAGGCCAAGCCCUGGGUCCCAGACUUAGCAAAGAAAAAGACGGCCAAUUAAAAUUGAAUUUCAUAUAGACAGCGAAUUUUUUUUAUAACCAUACACAUAUCUCGGCAAUUUUUGGGACAUAUACUAAAAAAUUACUAAUCUGAAAUUAAAAACGACGCCCUGGGCCGGGCGCAGUGGCUCACGCCCGUCAUCCCAGCACUUUUGGAGGCCGAAGCGAGUGGAUCACCUGAGGUCAGGAGUUCGAGACCAGCCUGGCCAACAUGGUGAAACCCCGUCUCUACUGAAAAUACAAAAAUUAGCCGGGCGUGGUGGCGGGCGCCUGUAAUCCCAGCUACUCGGGAGGCUGAGGCAGGAUAAUUGCUUGAACCUGGGAGGCGGAGGUUGCAGUGAGCCGAGAUCGCGUCAUUGCACUCCAACCUGGGCAAAAAGAGCGAAACUCUGUCUCAAAAAAAGAAAAAACGACCCCCCGUCUUUUACCUUACAACCAGCCCCAAGCAUCUCCCAGCCUAAUCCAGGGGGACCAGCUUCCCCCGCAAAGGUGGGACCUGGGAGUCGACCCCUCCCUAUCCAGGCCCCUUUCCACGUUUGACUGCACUGAAUGUGCCAAGACCAGGAGCUGGCUUUUCUGGGCUCUGGCUGACAGGAGAAGCUCUGGGGUUUUCCAAGUGCAUUCCUGGCUGGAAUAAGGAGGUCCUGCAGAGUCCCAGCUGCUGCUCUCUGCCAGGUUCCGGGAGGGGCAUGGUGACAGGGGCUUAAGCCUAUAACUGCUGGUGAUCUGACAGCCAAAAGAAAACCCUGAUGAGAGAUUCCUGCCUGGCAAAGAGUUGCCCAAGGAGAAGGGUGGGACAGGGUGUUGGCUGCUUUCCUUCAGGAAAAAUUCUUCCACCCCAGCUCCAAGACGCCAGGAUUGGACAGAACAGGCUGGCGAGCUGGCAGAGUGCCUGCCCAGUACACAACCUUGGUGCUACUCCAAAGAACAUUGUCUAUCGAGACCUGAAUCAUACCCUUCUCGAGUCUAUGCUCAGCGCUCCUCCCCAUUCCUCCCCAUCUCAGUUGCUCACAGGUAGACCUAUUGGAGCAAGGUAGCUUUUAUUUCUGGAAAAUCCAUCGUAACCAUCAAACUUGAUAAACAGCUGGCAUUUGAGGAAUCAUUGGAGUCUUCCUUUCAUUCCCCCCACACCCCCCGCAGAGCUCCCCAUCCCCACCCCCAGUCUCUUGUCCUUUUUCAGAAGAGGAGUUGCCAAGGGGAAGGGACCAGUAACAUUGAAUGACUGCUUGUUGUCGGACCCCACUAGCUCUUUACAUAAAUGAUGUCAUCCUCUCAACUAUCUUGUAAGAAAAUUGUUAUCGUCACUAUUUUAUGGGUGAGAAACCAAGGUAUUGAGGAUGGUUCUUUAAAAUAUUUCCCAUCGUGGCCGGGCGCAGUGGCUC
rnacentral:lncRNA from 10 species